AGAUUGAUGUUUCACAGCGCUGUGCCAGCUCCAAAAACUGAAAAAAAACAAUAACAAUCCCAAAGUAUAAGCCUGUCAUCUCGCCUGUGACUCGCACAAUCCUACGCCGUGUGUGCGCUGCAGGUGUAGCCAGUUCAAAGAUCCAUUCCGCAGCACAUCAGCUCUGCGAAUGGUCCGCAUAUGUUACACGUUCAAUGUAGCCAAAGCAUAAGUAUUAGAUUUCACUAACA